GAAGAGCAUAGAUUAUCGAAAUUGUUAUCACAUGGAUCUACAGCCGUGGAAUUCUUUCGCUACGCUGAAGUGAUGCAAAUCACAAAAUCACAGGCAAGAUAUUGCUAAGUUCUAUAGGAGCGAUUUCAUAAAAUUCUGACUCGCUUUAUGACAACUGCAAACCUUUAUUCAAAUAAACAUUGAAUUCCUACAUUUCUGUGUAUAUUCACUUUGUCACAAACAAAGGAGUUUAGAAUUAAUAAAUAUCGCUUACGAUUCCACAAUAAGCUAAAUCUACUACCUUUAACUUCACUGUUUCUGAAAUAUUUAGUUAAAUCUAUUGGAUUGUUCCGCAAUGAUACAAAUCGUAAUAUGAAGACUAAGGCGUCAUCUUUGAUAACAGCGGGAGAUGCAUUAUUAUGCUGGCUUUCGACUGUCACUCAAAUACGUGACCUAAAUCGGGGCAAAACCGAAACACUACUUUAUAUCCUUUCCGCAAUGAAUAAUAUAAUACUAGUAUACAAAUUAAUUUGCUUGUAAUUCUUGCCACACUUGGCUGUAGUUAACACCUAAAGAAAAUCCUGGGGCCCAUUGUCUUAGAUGACUUAUUGUUUAUAUUUUACUCUGCGUUAAAAACUGUAAGCAGAACGUCCUUUUCAUUCUAGAUCAACAAUCAAGCUGAGUCUUCCAUGUUAUGUUAUAAUUUAUUGUGAAGGUUUUUGGACCGCCAGUUGUGAUAGUCACUCGCGCGCACCACAGGCAGUCAAGUCACCAUGUGACGAUACUAGAUAGAACUAGCUUCCAAAACCGGCACAGCUCUCCUUCACCAACACCUCACGUUUUUUUAUCUUAAAACAAUUCUAGUCUUUUGAUUAAUAUUCUUUGCACAGAAAUUCUCAGUCUAUUCCCGAAUUAUCUCGAGAAAUUAGCAGGAUCACCGGUCUUUGAAUCAUUGGUAUGAUGAAGCUCGCGAGUGGCAAAAUAUUGUCCUUAUUGUAACGUACAAAACAGUGUUAAUGCAUUAAAAGCUUUCUCUUUGUAUCAAUGUCAGCUAAGUUUAAAGCUCCUUUUUGGAGGCGUGGCGGUGUCGCUGUACUAAAGGUCAUCCGGCGACAAGGGAAAGGAAGUUAAGUCUCUUUCAGCUGUCAACGGUAGCAGCACAGGAAAAUAUUCCUACAGACCUUACAGGCUUUACCGGAAAAUGCUCCAGUCUCUAGAUCUGCGCUGUGGCCUCACAACACUCAUCAUUGAAAUGUUCGUGGAGUGAGGGGAGGAUGAGCACCUCUAUACCAAGUCCAAGCUGAGCGCCUGGUAGGGAGACUCCUUGUGCGACAGAGGGAAAAA